UACGUAGGGUCCGAGCGUUGUCCGGAAUUAUUGGGCGUAAAGAGCUCGUAGGCGGUUUGUCGCGUCUGCUGUGAAAUCUAGAGGCUCAACCUCUAGCCUGCAGUGGGUACGGGCAGACUUGAGUGAUGUAGGGGAGACUGGAAUUCCUGGUGUAGCGGUGAAAUGCGCAGAUAUCAGGAGGAACACCGAUGGCGAAGGCGGCAUUCUGGACCGACAUUGACGCUGAGGAGCGAAAGCGUGGGGAGCAAACAGG
rnacentral:rRNA from 1 species